rnacentral:rRNA from 1 species
UACAGAGGAUGCAAGCGUUUAUCCGGAAUGAUUGGGCGUAAAGCGUCUGUAGGUGGCUUUUUAAGUCCGCCGUCAAAUCCCAGGGCUCAACUCUGGACAGGCGGUGGAAACUACCAAGCUGGAGUACGGGUAGGGGCAGGAGGGAAUUUCCGGGUGGAGCGGUGAAAUGCGUAGAGAUCGGAAAGAACACCAACGGCGAAGGCAGCACUCUGGGACGUGACUGACGCUGAGA